rnacentral:rRNA from 1 species
GACGGAGGGGGCAAGCGUUGUCCGGACUCACUGGGCGUAAAGGGCGCGUAGGCGGGCCGCCAAGUCAGGGGUGAAAGCCCCCAGCUCAACUGGGGAAGUGCCUUUGAUACUGGCGGUCUCGAGGGGAUAGGGGCGUGCGGAACUUCCGGUGGAGCGGUGAAAUGCGUAGAUAUCGGAAGGAACACCGGUGGCGAAAGCGGCGCGCUGGAUCCCGUUCUGACGCUGAGGCGCGAAAG